GAAAGACGCACAGGGACGAGCUUCCUGUGUCUGUGGAAACGCAGGGGACUGAGAUCCACGUUCGCUUUACAUCCACGUGUUGAGCUGCUUAUCCUGUAGAUUCUGCAAGGCUGGUGUGCUGUGCUUGUGGCCAGCCUCUGCCCUCAGCAUCCUUCCCCUCCCCUCACGGGGUCAAUCAAGGUCAACGGUGUGCCUCCCUGUCGGUAUGACAGCUGUUGCUCCCUCCCAUUAUUUCCCAGCCUUCCCCGUACAUCUCCCCUGUCCUCUACAACUUCAUUUCUCUUACCCACAGCCCUGCCUAGAAGAACACAACUUUCCAUCAGUUCCCUCCUGUGUGUAAUAGACAACCGAAUCAGAUGACACGACCAUCACUCUCCCAGCUCACAGAGCUCAUAAUUCUUGGUCAAGGCCAGUUUAUCCCUUCGUUCUUCUCCCCGUCUGUUCCCUAUAUUUCACCUCUUGCACAACCUCCUACAAAGUUUAUUCUAAAUAAGCACUUAUUCAGUCCAUAAAUGCACUGCCAAGUGGACGAAUGCCUUGCUCCCUUGACCUCAUCCAUCUCCAACACUUCCUUUCCUGUUCUCUUCCCCACCCGACCCUCCACCUCCCAUUCUAUUUACUUGUCCGAUCCUUUUAAUCGUCCUUUGCCAGUAAUUGAAUUUAGGGCCCUCGUUCAAAUUCCUCCCUUUCGAGUUAAUUCAUUCGUGUAAUCUUUCCUGUUGCUCUCUCAUCGCUUUCCUGCUGUGUCAUUUUAAUUGCCAGUGUUUCGGUAUUUUGUUUUUCACAUUUAUCUCUGGCUACGUGCGUUAGAUUUCUGCUCCCCAAAAUAGAGGGACUGAGAUAGUUAUUGAAAUGGCAGAUCUGGCUUUGCCUUAGCUUGCAAAUGAGAUUUGAACCUGGGUAGUAAAGUUAUAAAAAUAACACUGAAUUGGUAACUUGGAUAGUUGGGGAGGAGCAGGGAAACAGAGGAACAAAUUAGCUUUACUUCUUUGGAGAAUAGUCCGUGGGUCAACGGUCUGAGAUGCAAAUAAAAAGACUACAGAGUUGAGACUGCUGCUCACCUCCACCUGGGUAAUUGCUGGCCUCCACCAACAGGAUUGUUCAUUGACAAAGGAGACAUGUAGUCACUGGCUACAUUUAACUGUGUGACUGGGCAGCAGAAUUACCCACACCGCACUCAGUCUAGCCUUUGGUCUUACUGUCUUGCUGCCCACAGCAACAGAAUUCAAAUUCUAUUGUCAAAGCAUAUUGCUGCAAGCAGGAAUCCACUUUCCCCUGGAAGCACCCUAUCACCCCAAAGGAUGGGAUGCCCAGGCAUUGAGAUUUGCCGGAAAUGGAAAGAUGUCUUCAAGGAAACAGUUGGAAAAAAUACACUUCAAAAAACAUGGCGCUUAUCAGGAACCAGCUCUCCUAUGAGGGGCGAUGAGCACAAGGAACUUUCUUUCCCCCCUCCUUCCCCUCCGUCAUGGCUAUCUUCAUAUUUCGUGUGGGGAAAAAUGAGUCUGCAAGGAUGCCUAAAUUGUCCAGAUGAUGCAGCUUUAGGAGGCGAAGUCAUCGGGAAGAAUGGCCAUUGGAAUGAGAAAACUAAUGCAGAAAGCUGAUCGUUAUCAUGAAGUUUGGAACAAUUUUAUUAACUUGCUGCUCACUUGUCUGUCUGUUCGUCCGUUGCUGGCUCUCCUUUGAAAGAUGGAAGCCCGACAAAUGAAUCACUUGAAGGAGUCCGCCCCCAUGCCAAGGCCAGGCUUCUCGGAGGCACCAGAACGUGUCCUCCCUCCCUGCGCGCCCAACAGAGCAAAGCAGGCCUCCUCCU